rnacentral:lncRNA from 1 species
AUUUGUUUCUUUGUCCGUCCAGUGUCUCUGUGUUUUUGUAACGGGAGGCUAAGUACUUGUGAUGGUUUUUCUUUUAGAAGAUUGAAAUAAUGUCCAACAAACUGAAAGACUGCAGCUUUUUGCAAGUCCAACUCAUCAACUCCGUCUUGGGCCUAACCUAAAAUAACAACGUCAAAAUCUGAUAUAGUAUUAUCCGAAACUCUCUCAAGCUUUAGGCCACCGUAUAUGGUUAAAUGAACAACCAUAAAUGCAAAACGGAGUUAGGAAGGUUGACAAUGGGAUUCCGAUGCCAGAGUGAAAUUAAGCUAAAUAGGCAUCUGCCAUUAAAGAAGGGUCUAGUGCUGAGAGUUUCACUAUGAUAUCUAAAUUAAAAUUUCAUGAUAAAGAGAGACGAUAUGAAUAUACACACAUAAUGUUUGUAUAUAGAGCUAUUUACAGAGGAAGACAUACAAUCCAGAGAGACCUUUCACUACUGCUUGGAGUCUGACAUUAUCUCUAAGUAGUUUUACCAUAUCAGAAAAAUUUCAAAGCAGAUCAUUUCCUAUAGAGGACACCCCCAAUGACUCUUGGUUGUCUAUAGAUUCAGGCUUUUCUUUUUUGGUACAAUUACCUUUGAUUGGCUUCGAACACGAAUCUAUCAAUUGUGGAGAUGACUCUGAUAUCAAUGAGCUAAAGUCCAUUGGUUACAAAUUCAGACUUGUAGUUGAGCUAAAAUAUAGGUUAGAGUUGGAUGGUUUUGUUGCAGAGAAGGGGGAAGAUGGUUUCCACCAAUCCAUAUAUGAGUUGCUAAUAAGAGGACUUUGUAAAGGAAUUCAAUACAAAUUGGUAAAGGACACAAGUACCAAAGUCAUUCUCUAACAGAACAAUCGAGGAGGAAAGUGAGCAUUCCAGGACUCAUAGUUAGCCAAAUAUUGAAAGAAUCUUACUUAGUUGGUCAUGUCUCAUCUUCUGUUGUCACCAAGCCCAACUCCUCUUCUGUUAUUAUUAUCAUUAUGCUUUGAUUCAAUGAAAA